UACAGAGGGUGCGAGCGUUAAUCGGAAUUACUGGGCGUAAAGCGUGCGUAGACGGUUAUUUAAGUCGGAUGUGAAAGCCCCGGGCUCAACCUGGGAAUUGCAUUCGAGACUGAAUAGCUAGGGUACGGUAGAGGGAAGUGGAAUUUCCGGUGUAGCGGUGAAAUGCGUAGAUAUCAGGAGGAACACCGAUGGCGAAGGCAGCUCGCUGGGACGGUACUGACGCUGAGGCGCGAAAGCGUGGGGAGCGAACAGG
rnacentral:rRNA from 1 species